rnacentral:rRNA from 1 species
CAGCCGCCGCGGGAAUACGGAGGGGGCUAGCGUUGUUCGGAAUUACUGGGCGUAAAGCGCACGUAGGCGGCUUUGUAAGUUAGAGGUGAAAGCCCGGAGCUCAACUCCGGAAUUGCCUUUAAGACUGCAGAGCUAGCAGGUGAGAGAGGUGAGUGGAAUUCCACGUGUAGCAGUGAAAUGCGUAGAGAUGUGGAGGAAUACCGAUGGCGAAGGCAGCCCCCUGGGCCAAUACUGACGCUCAUGCACGAAAGCGUGGGGAGCAAACAGGAUUAGAUACCCCCGUAGUCCCUGUCUCUUAUAC